AUUGAACGCUGGCGGCAGGCCUAACACAUGCAAGUCGAACGAGUGGCGGACGGGUGAGUAAUGUCUGGGAAACUGCCUGAUGGAGGGGGAUAACUACUGGAAACGGUAGCUAAUACCGCAUACCAUCGGAUGUGCCCAGAUGGGAUUAGCUAGUAGGUGGGGUAAAGGCUAACCUAGGCGACGAUCCCUAGCUGGUCUGAGAGGAUGACAGCCAACACUGGAACGGGGAAACGGUCCAGACCCCUACGGGGGGAAGCGGUGGGGAAUAUUGAACAAUGGGCGAAAGCCUGACGCAGCCAUGCCGCGUGUAUGAAGAAGGCCUGCGGGUGGUAAAGUACUUUCAGCGGGGAGGCGUUACCCGCAGAAGAAGAACCGCCUACCACCGGGCCAGAGCCGCGGUAAUUC
rnacentral:rRNA from 1 species